GCUACGGUGGUCUAGCGGUUAGAACGCUGGCCUUGUAAUCCUGGGGUCUCGGGUUCGAUUCCCGGCGGUGCU
rnacentral:tRNA from 1 species